UGUGGAGUUAGCUUCUAAGAAGAGGCUCAG
rnacentral:piRNA from 1 species